rnacentral:lncRNA from 1 species
GUCUAGUGAAACAUUACUCAAACAAUGUACGUCCCUCUUUCUACUAUGAUCAUGGCUAUGCCUUGCCUGCUUCUCCUAAUACUGUUAAGGCCAAAGUAAAUUAUUAAUUUGGCACCAGUGCAAAGUCUGGAGCGAGAAAAGAAGAAUGCCAUGUCCAGAGAAAAGAGGGAAAAGACCACAGGGAAGGGUCUUUUGGGAGAUUUGAGGGAAAAUAACCUCAUUAAUGAAGAUUUAAGUUAGAAGCUUGCAUUCUACUCAGAUCUUAAGAUGGACUUUGUGGCAAAGCAGGGCAAUGAGUACACACAGGACUGCAGAGAGUUUGCACUCUCGCUCCAUCUACAUGGUUCAAAGGUAGCUAGCUGCGUUCAGUGGAUGCCAAGCCUGUCCUGAACAAGAUGAUGCUGGAUAUGCUAGAGAGAAGAUGCAAGGGAGACCCGGCUAAAUAGGGAUGUGUUUCACUCAUGUUGGAUGCCAUGUCCAUCAAAAAACAUGUGCAAUAUAAUCCACUUACCGAGUCAAUGUCUGUUUUUGUAGACAUUGGUGAUGGAAACAAUGAGACUGAUGUUGUAUUUGAGGCUCUUGUGUAUGGUGGUUGGCCUACAAGGAUAUUGGAAGGCUCCCAUUACAUACUUCAUGACCAUGUCUCUCUCUCCAGAACCACUGGGGGUCCUUCUCAGUCAGGCUUUGGAGGAGCUGCAAGCACUGGGCAUUCGGUUGGUAUGUCUAACAAUGGAUGGGCAUUCCUCCAAUGUCAGCAUAUUCAACCAACUUUGGUGUGAGCUGAAGGGGGACCCACGAAAGCCGCUUCAAACCAGUUUCCCACAUCCGGUGUCUGGGGAGAAAGUAUUUGUAAUGAUGGAUGCUUGCCACAUGCUCAAGUUGGCACGUAAUAUGUUGCAGGCAUACAGUCCAAUUGCGAAGACCACCGGAAAGAUCCAUUGGAGGUAUCAAUCGUCGCCAUGA